rnacentral:rRNA from 1 species
CGUAGGAGGUUAUACAGGCAAAUCCGUAUAACAAUACUCCGAGAACUGAAAGGCUUUUUGAAGUCUUCGGAUGGAUAGAAGAACCCCUGAUGCCGUCGAGCCAAGAAAAGUUUCUAAGUUUAGCUAAUGUUGCCCGUACCGUAAACCGACACAGGUGGGUGGGAUGAGUAUUCUAAGGCGCGUGGAAGAACUCUCUUUAAGGAACUCUGCAAAAUAGCACCGUAUCUUCGGUAUAAGGUGUGGUUAGCUUUGUAUUAGGAUUUACUCCGAAAGCAAGGAAACUUACAACAAAGAGUCCCUCCCGACUGUUUACCAAAAACACAGCACUCUGCUAACUCGUAAGAGGAUGUAUAGGGUGUGACGCCUGCCCGGUGCUCGAAGGUUAAUUGAUGGGGUUAGCAUUAGCGAAGCUCUUGAUCGAAGCCCGAGUAAACGGCGGCCGUAACUAUAACGGUCCUAAGGUAGCGAAAUUCCUUGUCGGUUAAAUACCGACCUGCAUGAAUGGCGUAACGAGAUGGGAGCUGUCUCAAAGAGGGAUCCAGUGAAAUUGUAGUGGAGGUGAAAAUUCCUCCUACCCGCGGCAAGACGGAAAGACCCCGUGGACCUUUACUACAGCUUGACACUGCUACUUGGAUAAGAAUGUGCAGGAUAGGUGGGAGGCUUUGAGUAUAUGACGCCAGUUGUAUAUGAGCCAUUGUUGAGAUACCACUCUUUCUUAUUUGGGUAGCUAACCAGCUUGAGUUAUCCUCAAGUGGGACAAUGUCUGGUGGGUAGUUUGACUGGGGCGGUCGCCUCCCAAAUAAUAACGGAGGCUUACAAAGGUUGGCUCAGAACGGUUGGAAAUCGUUCGUAGAGUAUAAAGGUAUAAGCCAGCUUAACUGCAAGACAUACAAGUCAAGCAGAGACGAAAGUCGGUCUUAGUGAUCCGGUGGUUCUGUGUGGAAGGGCCAUCGCUCAAAGGAUAAAAGGUACCCCGGGGAUAACAGGCUGAUCUCCCCCAAGAGCUCACAUCGACGGGGAGGUUUGGCACCUCGAUGUCGGCUCAUCGCAUCCUGGGGCUGGAGCAGGUCCCAAGGGUAUGGCUGUUCGCCAUUUAAAGCGGUACGCGAGCUGGGUUCAGAACGUCGUGAGACAGUUCGGUCCCUAUCUGCCGUGGGCGUAAGAAGAUUGAAGAGAUUUGACCCUAGUACGAGAGGACCGGGUUGAACAAACCACUGGUGUAGCUGUUGUUCUGCCAAGAGCAUCGCAGCGUAGCUAAGUUUGGAAAGGAUAAACGCUGAAAGCAUCUAAGCGUGAAGCCAACUCUAAGAUGAAUCUUCUCUAAGCUCUCUAGAAGACUACUAGUUUGAUAGGCUGGGUGUGUAAUGGAUGAAAGUCCUUUAGCUGACCAGUACUAAUAGAGCGUUUGGCUUAUCUUUAAUAAAGCAU